rnacentral:rRNA from 1 species
UACGUAGGGUGCAAGCGUUAAUCGGAAUUACUGGGCGUAAAGCGUGCGCAGGCGGUUUUGUAAGUCAGAUGUGAAAUCCCCGGGCUUAACCCUGGGAACUGCGUUUGAAACUACAAGGCUAGAGUGUGGCAGAGGGGGGGUGGAAUUCCACGUGUAGCAGUGAAAUGCGUAGAGAUGUGGAGGAACACCGAUGGCGAAGGCAGCCUCCUGGGCUAGUACUGACGCUCAUGCACGAAAGCGUGGGGAGCAAACAGG